rnacentral:rRNA from 1 species
CCCGCUGAACUUAAGCAUAUCAAUAAGCGGAGGAAAAGAAACCAACAGGGAUUGCCUCAGUAACUGCGAGUGAAGCGGCAAUAGCUCAAAUUUGAAAUCUGGCCUCUGGCCCGAAUUGUAAUUUGUAGAGGAUGAUUCGAGGAUGGUCCAGUCUAAGUUCCUUGCAACACGACGUCAUAGAGGGUGAGAAUCCCGAAUGCGACUGGGUGCCUAAGCUCAUGUGAAGCUCCUUCGACGAGUCGAGUUGUUUGGGAAUGCAGCUCAAAAUGGGUGGUAAAUUUCAUCUAAAGCUAAAUACUGGCCAGAGACCGAUAGCGCACAAGUAGAGUGAUCGAAAGAUGAAAAGCACUUUGGAAAGAGAGUUAAACAGUACGUGAAAUUGUUGAAAGGGAAGCGCUUGCAACUAGACUUGCAUGCGGUCGAUCAUCCGAUGUUCUCACCGGUGCUCUCGAUUGCAUUCAGGCCAGCAUCGGUUUGGGGGGUUAGAUAAAGGCCUUGUGAAUGUAGCUUCUCUCGGGGAGUGUUAUAGAGCAAGGUGCAAUGUAGCCUACCGGGGCCGAGGACCGCGCUUCGUCUAGAAUGCUGGCGUAAUGGUUGUAAGUGACCCGUCUUGAAACACGG